rnacentral:rRNA from 1 species
UACGGAGGGGGCUAGCGUUGUUCGGAAUUACUGGGCGUAAAGCGCACGUAGGCGGCUUUGUAAGUUAGAGGUGAAAGCCCGGGGCUCAACCCCGGAAUUGCCUUUAAGACUGCAUCGCUAGAAUUGUGGAGAGGUAAGUGGAAUUCCCAGUGUAGAGGUGAAAUUCGUAGAUAUUGGGAAGAACACCGGUGGCGAAGGCGGCCCUCUGGACCGAGACUGACGCUGAGGCGCGAAAGCCAGGGGAGCGAACGGG